GCCCUCAGGGGGAUGACGACCCCCCGGUUUGAGCGGGAUUGCUGGGAGAGAGGUUUCGCCCCGUUUGAGAGUGACCCCCGAUCGCUGGGAGAUGGUGUCAUCUAUGGACGGGGGGAAGAAGCGGCUGGGGAACACGGCGGGGGAGACCCUCAGCAGCGCCCCAGGACACCCGGCUGCCUCCCAGAGCCCCCGCUCCAGCCCCUUUGUUUCGCUCUCGGGCUGCUCCCUACGCCGCUCAGGGCUCGCGGCCUCACCUUCCUUCUAAACACCAGCUGAAAUGCUGUUCCGGCAAAACCAUGCCCUCACGAUGACACAAUUGUUCAAGGAAAACAUUUCCCUGUUUUUUUUCCUGGCACGUGUCUAGGCAGUUUCCUGACCGGAGUAGUGACCACAGCCAGAGGCCACACGUGGCCACUCGGGCAGUGACGGCGGGAUACCCUUCACCUCGGCUUUGUGGGCUCCAGGUCUCCCCUACUUCUUCCCUGGAGGAGUGUUUAUCCAGCUAAAAGAUUAGUGCGUCUGCAGUAUCACAGAGGGAGCAGCAGCAAGACUGAGACAAUGGACCUCAGGGAAAUGCAGUGGUGCAUGAUGACUAGAGCACACCCAGGGGUGUUAAGCAUCCAAUGAUGAGCACUUAAAUAGCAUCAGGAGGAAUAAAGCUGGAUGCAGAAUCUCCUAGGAAGGGCUAUUUUCCCGUUCUGAGUUUCCCACAGCCGAUAAUGCUGCCACCAUUGAGUGCCCCCAGUGAGUGGCUAUGUGACAAGAAGAAGAGGAGGGUAGCUCCUUGCUGGUCUACAAAGGAGGCCUUUGCUUCCCUUGAUUUGCUCUGCAUAGUAGAAGUAAAACAUCUUAUUUUCAUUGUUACAAAUAACUCUAUUCGUUCUGAACUGAACACUAAUGGAGGAAGGCCUAAAAAUACACCAAAGCUAUUUUUUAUCAGUUUGGAUGGAAAUCACUUUCUCCUUUUCUUCUUCUAAUGCCUGCGAGCUCUUGCCAUAAGUUCUAAAGAGCAGUAGUCGAUGGUGGUACCAUUGUGAGUGCCAUCCAGCUCCAAAACCCCCUGAGACUGGUGGGGAAUACUGCCCAAUCGAAGAGAUUCCCUGGGACAGGGUUUUAACAUGGACUGCAGGGAGUGAAGAUGAUGACUUGGUGUUAGAGGAGGGAUGCUGUUCCCUGGGAGCAAUGUGGGGUGAAGCACUAGUCCAUAGUCCCCAUCUUCUUCACGUCCAAGAGUCCCUCCAGUUCAUGGUAUGUUUUGCAUUGGAGAAUCAGUGUCAUGUCACCAAAAUGGUGACAGAUGGUUUGGGGGCAGGGAAUGCAUUUGCAGAACCUUUCUGUAAAUUCCACAUGUCCUCAAAUUUGCCACAGGCCAUCAAGCUUCCAGGGCAGUGGCCUGAGGUCCCACCUGGGUCAGCAAACUGGCAAGG